rnacentral:rRNA from 1 species
AGAGUUUGAUCCUGGCUCAGGACGAACGCUGGCGGCGUGCUUAACACAUGCAAGUCAAGGCGGUAGCAAUACCGACUGGCGCACGGGUGCGGAACACGUAGGCAAUCUGCCCAGAAAGGGAGAACAACCAGUCGAAAGAUUGGCUAAAUCUCCGUAAUAUCACGAAGCGGCAUCGCUUUGUGAUCAAGUUUUUUUCUGGA